rnacentral:rRNA from 1 species
UACGGAGGGUGCAAGCGUUGUUCGGAAUCACUGGGCGUAAAGCGCGUGUAGGCGGUUCGCUAAGUCAGGUGUGAAAUCCCCCGGCUUAACCGGGGAAUUGCGCCUGAAACUGGCGGGCUUGAGUGUCGGAGAGGGAAGGGGAACUCCCGGUGUAGAGGUGAAAUUCGUAGAUAUCGGGAAGAACACCGGUGGCGAAGGCGCCUUCCUGGACGAUAACUGACGCUGAGACGCGAAAGCGUGGGGAGCAAACAGG